AGAAUCAACGCUGGCGGCGUGCCUAACACAUGCAAGUCGAACGAGAAAGGGUAGCAAUACCUGAGUAAAGUGGCGCACGGGUGAGUAACACGUGACUAACCUACCCUGGAGUGGGGGAUAACUGAAGGAAACCUUAGCUAAUACCGCAUAACACCUACGGGUCAAAGGAGCAAUUCGCUUCAGGAGGGGGUCGCGGCCGAUUAGUUAGUUGGCGGGGUAAUGGCCCACCAAGACAGUGAUCUGUA
rnacentral:rRNA from 1 species